AGAAGUUGCUUUUUUGUUACCUGUUUUCACUCCCCUGGAGUUAACGCGGCCAAUGAGUUCUCACGGCAUGUUUGAUGGCAUCGAGGAUGACAUGAUUCAACUAAUAAAUGCCCGUAAACAAGA